rnacentral:lncRNA from 1 species
UGAGGAUGAAGGCCUGCGUGGGAGGUAAGACCUCUCCGAGACCCCACUCUCACCAGCUGGUGGCCCCCUCACUGCCGCCUAACAGCCCUGUCUCCUCCCCAGCUCCGGUCCCGCUGCCACGGCCGCCCAGGAUGAGAACUUGUGUAAGGGGAAGUGUGGGGCCACCCUGGGGAGGAGGCGGGCCCAGAGAAUGUGGGUGGGCAGUGGAGGCUGUGGAUUGGGAGAGGGUCCUGGGCUCCGGUGUGAGAGAGCAUCUGAUCACCUUGUGGCCUGGUAACAUCACUGAUCUUCUCUGGGCUCCUGCCAUACAAGAUCUCAAGGGAUCUUGGCAAGAGAUGGGACCGCCUUUUUCUGUCCCUACCAGAUGCUGUCAUGAAAGACACACAGGCUGAAGAGGACAGACAGCUGGACAGCCAGGUGGGCUCCCUGUGGUCCUGACCAGGGCACCCCUGCCUCUCUAUGUGAUAAAUCCAGCAGACACUCCACCCGGCAGCCCGCAGCCUCUCUCUCCCUUCUGGAAGCACGCCACUCUCUGGGCGGCUACAACCUCAGGGUCCUUGGUCUCUUCUGUCGAGCUGUUGGGGACACUCAGGUCAAGGGGGCAGGGUUGGAGUUUAGGGCUGCCUGUGCCCUGCACAAAGGGCUGAAAUCCAGGCCCUGGGCCAGUAGAGGCCCAGAGGCGGCACCUCCUAAAACCUACACAAAGUGGUCCUGUAGCUUAGCUCAGUCCUCUUUCUGUUCAGUCUUUCCCCAUCUGUCCCACCCACAGCCACGGCUGUUCACGCGAUUCACCCUGGCCAACGGGCUGAACCCCCUGUGGGGGCGUGGGGGCCUGUCCAUCCACGUUGAUGGCCACACUCAAUUCCUACCUCCAGCCUUGCCCUCCCCCAGCACCAGAUUCCAGGGGCCAACCAUCCACGUACCAGCUGUGUCCAGGCAGUAGGCAUUUUGGACCCCAACAGCCCUCCUCCCCCAGAUACAAACUGAAGGAGGGUAAGGGGGGCUCAAGACCAUCCCUCACGGUGUCUAACAGGGCCUUAGACCCCCUGUGGGUGCAUCCUCUCCUCCCCAGGCCUCAGGCUUUCUUCUGCUCCAGCCACAUGCCUUUCCUCUCCUUCUGCUCCAGGCUGUAGUCUCUGAAGACUCCCGAGAUGGGACUUAUGCCCAGAUCAACAGCUUGGUGUCUGAAGACCCUCAGGAUGUGACCUAUGCCCAGCUCAACUGCCUGACCCUCAGGAGGGUGACAAGUGGACCCGCUUCCUCCCAAGAAGAGCCUCCAGCAGAGCCCAGUGUGUAUGCAUCUCUGGCCAUCCGCUAGCCCAAGCAGGACCCACACCCCACACUCCAGGGGUCUGCGAGGUCUCCUGCAGGGAGCCUGGAGGGCAAAGGAGCUGCCCACAGUGGGUACUACCUGAUCCCACCCAGCCUGGAGGCAGGACAAGGACCCAACUACUGGGACCUUGUGGAAACUGCUUCCAGGAAUUCCCAUCACCAUACAGCUGACCUUAGGGUUCCUGUAAAGUGACUCCAAGGAUUCCCAUGGAAAUGCCAAGACCACCAAGUGGUAACCCUGGUGGUGGGGGAAGGGCAGGGCCUACCAACCAGCACUAGGAUAGGACUACUCAGGACCUUCUGUAGGCUUCAUGGCAGCCAGGCAGCCUCCCAGGACCAUCACUGCGAAGCUGGGUCUUAAAUGUCCUUUCCCACAGGCCCCUAAUUAGGACUCACCCACUUCCCAACCCCACCAAAAUGAGCUUUGAAAUCAGUCUGUUCACCUUCUCAAGGGCUUCCUACCAAAACCCAACUACAGUAGUUCGUCUCCACCAGUGACCCCAAGUUCAGCUCUUUGCACCCACCCCCAACAUUUAACCCCUGAGCCCCACUCACUACUUCUCUGCCGGGAAAGGACUCCACCCCACCCCAAUGCAAACAGCUGGCUCCCAGCAGCAGACGUGAGUGGGGUGUACUUCCCCUACCCCAACAAGGACCCCCAGCUGGUAGGCUCCCCAGGCCCCUCUAAGCAAGAGGCAAUGCUCCAAGUGUGAACUUGCUAGGAUGAGGAAGCCUGAGCUUUUUCCCACCACAGAAGCCUGUGUUCAGAGAAGGAAGGAGAACAGACCCACCAAUAAACACCAGUUCCAAAGGGUUGAUUCUGUUUUAUUAUCUGAUUAGAAAACUAGGCAAUCCAUAGCCCAGCGGUGGGGCGGGUGGGCUCAAUCCUCCUCCUCGUCAUCUCCCGCUCCAGCCCCACCCUGGCCCUUCUUGGCAUUCUUCCUCUUCACGCGACCAGGGCGGCCGCCCCCGUAUGGAGAGCGCAGGGAGAAGUCGAUGUGCUUCUGGGAGUCCAGGCGGACAAUGAAGGACGGGAUGUUCACCACCUGCUUUCGGACCCUGGAGGGGGCAUGGCAGGUGAGGGGAGGGGGGAAAGGAUCCCAGCAGGAUGAGACCCUAGUCUCUGCUUCGACUCUGCAGCCGGCAGAGUGGGUGCUGCAGCCACGCUGACCCCACAGCACCUGUGCGAUCAGGAGGGCGUCAGAGCAUUGCGGGAGAGAGUUUUUCCUGUUCGCAUCUUACAGAAGUGGAAACCGUCACAAGUAAACCCCACAUGUGACCACUAAGUAAGAAGGCAACAUGGCAGCAAUUCCAGGAUCUGAUGUUUAAAACUCAACUGAGCUUCAGGUGUAGUACCUGCGAUGCAGCAUCACAGUCCUUCAAGCAGCCACCUGUCCAGGUUCUCUGGAACCCGACAGAGGGCAAACAGAGCACCCAGAUACAGAACCCUUCUGCCCUGACAGCUGCCACCUGGAGCCACCCAGACCCCUGCAGUCCCUGGCACUUGAGCAUCAGACCACGGACUGAGGCGAGCUUACCAAAUUAACGCCCACACUGUGCAAGAACGUGACGGCCACCAGGUGGGGGGCCCAACAGACAGCCGAACCCACGAACCCACUCAAGCCAGCUGGGCGCACCCAGAGCGGUUACCUGUCCAGCUGCCUGCACGCCCGCAGAAGCCUUCACAAGGUGUACGGCUCAGGCCGCAGUGACCCUUGCGCUGGGCUAGGGGGAGGAUGAGGCUGUCCCCAGCACCCCAUGAGCUCUCUGCUUGGGUCUACCUGUACCCUCAAGGUAUGUUCACACCCGUCACCUCCGAGGGCUGCACAGGAGGUAAGGACAGCAAACUCAGCGAGGGCAACCACCAGAGGAGAGGAAGGGGUGGAAGAGAGACUCCGGGAGCCCAGAGGGAGUACCUGAUAUGGCGCUGGCGGAUCAGCACGCGGGCAUGGUGGAUGGAUUUGGCCAAGCCCAGCUUGAAGACCUGGGUCUGCAGGCGCCUCUCUAAGAAAUCCUCGAUCUUGAGGCCCAGGAUGUAAUCCAGUUUCAUCUUGCCCUCGUCCAGCACCCCAAUGCGCACGAGUCGCCGCAGCAGAGCGUUACCUGGUAGGAGGGGAAGGAAGCACGCAUUCGGGCUUCCGGCUCACUUCAGACUUCUUGGGAGCUCCCUAGCAUGGAGGUGGGAUGUGAGUGGGAAGCAGGGCCCAUGACUCUGAUGUAAGAUCCAACACAGUGGCCACAGUGUGGCUCCUACAAUCCUCACAACCACGUAACACCUACCUGUCUUACCAAGGAGGGCAGGUGACCACACCUACCUUUGUUCUCUGAAACCAGGAACAGAACCUUCCGUGAGCUGUCAGGAGAGUAAUGAGACAAUCCUGCCAGGACUUAACCACUCCCCACCGCCCCCAAAGACUAGGUGCUGCGGCUGCUAACCACAAUGAAGCGCAGCGGUCAAGACCUAACCUGGAGUCAAGAAACCGCUACUAGUCAGUCAAAUCUGAGGCUCAACCGCCUUCCCUGACAAUAUAGGGCUGUCAGCACUUAGCCUCUAGGCCCUAGAAGCCUCAGACUGGGCACACGUUUAAGGAGUACAUCAUAUGCUCUACCAUUCUAUCUGUGGUUUCCUGCUGAGAAAUUAUGGUGUGUUCAUGCCAACAAUGGCAUGAAGUCAUGCCCUUCUGCCAGUAACCCCAGGUGCAGGAGGCCUUGCAAUUUGCCCAUAGCCCCUGACCACUCCACAGUGGCCAGGACUUGGGAUCCCGGAGGCAAACCCUGUCCCCAGAGUUCAUACUCACACAGGCUCAUAGCCUAACACCAUGACACUGGGGUAAAAGCCCAACUUUGCUUUUCCUUAAAAAGGAUUAGUUUCACUUCUCGUCAAGUGACCUUAUCAUUCAUUACAGCAAGACAAUUCAAGGAAGCUCUCUGUACUAUCCCGGAUUCUUGGCAUCAUGACCCCUUGCCCCUGGAAAACUGCAGUCUUUCUAGCACAGCUAAUGGAGAAAGACGAUCAAAAUGGAGAAACACACUCUACCUUUCCCAAUAUCCCAAGUCCUAGUAUGGCUUAGUUCUUCACUCUAACAAAUGCUCAACCUAAGAUAUCCGUGAUACCAGGGUGCCUGGGUGGCUCAAUUGGUUCAGCCUCUGACUCUUGAUUUUGGCUUAGGUCAUGAUCUCACGAUUUGUGGGACUGAGCCCUGCAGCCAGCUGCGUGCUGAUAACAGAACCUGCUUGGGAUUCUCUCCCUCUCUGCCCCUCCCCUGGCUUGUGCUCUCAGGAUAAAGGGAAAUGCAAAUCAAAACGACAGUGAUGUCACCUCACACCUGCCAAAAACAGUAUCAAAGACAAAAAAACAGUCCGUGAAAAUGUAAAGAAAGGGAACCCUCCCCUCAUGCACUGUUGGUGAGAAUGUGUAGGGGCGCCUGGGUGACUCAGUUGGUUGAGCACCCGACUUUGGCUCAGGUCAGGUUCUCGCAGUUCGUGAGUUCAAGCCCUGCGUUGGGCUCUGCUGACAGCUCAGAGCCUGAAGCCUGUUUCAGAUUCUGUGUCUCCCUCUCUCUGCCCCUUCCCUGUUCAUGCUCUGUCUCUCAAAAAUGAACAAACGUUAAAUUUAAAAGAGAAUGUGAGAUUGGUGCAGCCAGUCUGGAAAACAGGAUGGAGUUUCCUCAGAAGUCAAAACCAGAACUAUGAUGACAUAGCAAUGUCACUUCUGGAUAUUUAUCCAAAGAAAACGAACGCGCUAACUGGAAAAGGGAAGCUCCCCCCACGCUCUCUGUAGCAUUAUUUGCAGUGGCCAAGACAUGGAAACAACUUUAAGUGUUCACCGAAUGACAGCUGAACGGGUAAAAGAUGCGGCACCCACAAAGCGGGCGAUUACUCAGCCAUAAAAAAGAAUGAAAUCUUAGCACCUGCAACAGCACGGACAGACCCCGAGGUCCAUGCCAAGUGGAGUCAGAGACAAAGGCCAUGAUCUCAUUUAUACAUGGAAUCCACACAAAGCUACCAUCAACAGAAAUACCCCAAAUUCGCAGACUCAGAGUACAUUAUGGUGGUUGCCGGAGUCACAGGGGCAGUGGGUGAAUGUGGUCAAAAAGUACCACAUUCCAGUUACAAUACUCACUGUAUACGAGAAAGUUGUCAAGAGAGCACAUCUUUAAGACUUUAUUUCUCAAAUAAUAUCUGCACCUCACGUGAGGCUAGAAUUCACAACCCUGAGUCAAGAGUUGCUGCACCAAUGGAGUACAUCUUAAAAGAUCUCAUUACAAGAAAACGUUUUUUAAGCUACAGAUAGUGACAGAAAUGAAUUAGAUCACUUAUUAUGAUCAUUUCAUGGUACACAGAAAUAUCGAAUCACACCACACAUCUAAAAACUACAUAUAGUCUGUGAAUUAUACCUUGGUUAAAAAAAGACAUUAUUCAAAUAUUAAUACAAAAAAUGCCCCCACACAAAAACUAGUUUGGGAUUAUCUACCAGCUAGGAUACUUUUUGCCUUUUUUGUCCUCAUGCUAGAGAACAGAAACUUGACAUCAAUUUUAGAAUCUCUUUAGAAAUUUCUAUGUAAAAUAAAACCACUAUCAUUAAAAGGCCUUUCCUCGUCCUAAUGGCACGAAGCAAGCAUUAAAAUGCCUUAGUUUCUGAUCUGAAAAAUGGAUGUUAUACCUGUUUCUUUAUAGCUGCCGUGGGGAUGGAGCCACAAACCGCUCCCAGCCAAGUGCUGGCUGCAACUAGUUUAAGAGUCAAAGCCUUUUUAAUAAAAAUCAGAACACUUUCUCACCCAGUCACUUGCCUUUAGUGGGGAAGGCUAGACCUCAGGCUGGACCAGUGACAAACACCUCCAGGGAUAGGCAGAGAGCCUGCAGGCUCCUUCCUGUCCAGUCGGGCUAAACACCUUCGUUUACUAAAUGCCUACAAACCUAUGGGCUGCCUUCCCCAGUAAAGUCCACUUCUGCCACGGGAAACCACAAAUACUCUGGGUUCACCUGCCCGGUCAGCCACAGGACUGCGUAUCUGACCAUGGGUUGGAGUAGCUUGAUCUUCAGAAGGUCCCUCUGCCCUUAAUUAACCGGCUGGCUCCACAAAGACUUUUAGAUCAAGUCCCACCCAGGCAUCCACAGGGGAGGGGAUUCCUGAAUUUUCAUGAUCACGUGAUCUAUCAGUGAUGGUUCAACAAGCUCCAGAGCUUUCUCAACCUCUAAGAUGACUGACCGCCCAACCAUAACGGUGAAGGCUCAAAUGUAAAAGCAGUUUCCUUCUCAGCUAUAGAUUGGAAAAGAAAUCAAAAAUUUAGAAACAAGCAAAACAUGAUUCCCAGCCCCCCCUAGAAACCAAGUGUCCCCGAGCUCAGGCCAAAAGCAGUAUCAGGAGGAGAGCUUCCAGGCAGCCCAACUUUAAGAGUUAACACAGAGCAAGUGACCUGUACACUUGUGACAGAAGCUUUCACAAGCCAUUGUGGGAUAGAUACUCUGACUUCUUUCACAUUCAGAUACUGUUUCAACUGUUGGUCAUGUUCUCUAAGCUUCCUGCAAACUCUUCUCAGUCCACCCCAUCACUGAGUUUUGUCUGGACCCACUACGAGAGGAUCACCUGUAAAAUGUAUCAUAAGCUACCCCUAGGAAGCUGUCCUGCAGAUUAAGUAACAAAUCUAAAAAACUCAGAAAAAUAAAACUCCAGCUACUUUAACAUUAUUGCCAUCUUACAACCCUGAAAAACAAGAAAAUCAUAAGGUGAUUGAAAUCAGCUGUUGCUCUGGAAAGGUGGUAAAGUUCCCAAAUGAUCUGCAUUCCCUUCCCAAAUCAUCACCCUACAGGCUGCCUUCCCGUUCAGGCUUUUGGAAAACACCGCUGACCACCUUAUAAAAGCAGGCAAUGCUUG